UAAGUCGUAACCCGGAAGGUGCGGCUGGAUCACCUCCUAA
rnacentral:rRNA from 1 species